rnacentral:sRNA from 1 species
AGAACGGUUCUUGCUUUAAGUCAGGUUC